rnacentral:piRNA from 1 species
UGAAUCAUACUUAACUACUUCCUAUCUCC